CCCUUAGAUGUCCUGGGCCGCACGCGCGCUACACUGAGUGUCUGAGAUACGAGUCUGCCUGGUCCGGCAAGGUCUAGGUAAUCGCUAAAAGACUCGUCAUGCUUGGGAUAGAUUAUUGCAAAUAUUAAUCUUGAACGAGGAAUUCCUAGUAAGCGCAAGUCAACAGCUUGCGUUGAUUACGUCCCUGCCCUUUGUACACACCGCCCGUCGCUACUACUGAUUGGAUGUUUAAGCGAGGUUCUCGAACUGCUAGCGACUUAGCUUCGGUGAGGUCGCAGUGUGGGAAGUGGACCUAGCUUUGGUGUCUAGAGGAAGUAAAAGUCGUAACA
rnacentral:rRNA from 1 species